AACGCGAAGAACCUUACCCGGGGUUUAUAAGGGAUGGGUAAGGGUCAAGAAGGGCCCCCCCCCUUGUGGGCCGGUUCACAGGUGGUGCAUGGCUGUUGUCAGCUCGUGUCGUGAGAUGUUGGGUUAAGUCCCGCAACGAGCGCAACCCUCGUCCACUGUUGCCAGCAUUUGGUUGGGGACUCAGUGGAGACCGCCGGGGUCAACUCGGAGGAAGGUGGGGAUGACGUCAAGUCAUCAUGCCCCUUAUGUCCAGGGCUUCACGCAUGCUACAAUGGCCGGUACAAAGAGUGGCGACAUCGUGAGGUGGAGCGAAUCUCAGAAAGCCGGUCUCAGUUCGGAUUGGGGUCUGCAACUCGACCCCAUGAAGUCGGAGUCGCUAGUAAUCGCAGAUCAACCACCCUCCCGGUAAAUACUUUCCCGGGUCUUGUACACACCG
rnacentral:rRNA from 1 species